AUUCGAUCCUUCGUUCAACUUCUCGAGACGCCUUCGCUUCUCCUUGGGAACCCUAACCCUAGACUCCAACCCCUUCUUGUCGUCGUUGGCCAUGUCGCACUUCGGGAGAUCGGGGCCGCCGGACAUCAAGGACACCUACUCCCUUCUCGUCCUCAACAUCAGCUUCCGAACCACGGCGGAUGAUCUCUUCCCACUCUUUGAUCGGUAUGGUAAAGUGGUUGACGUUUUCAUUCCAAGGGAUCGGAGGAGUGGAGAAUCGCGGGGGUUUGCUUUUGUGAGGUAUAAGUAUGCAGAUGAGGCACAGAAGGCUGUUGAAAGGCUCGAUGGCAAGUUUCUGUUCUUCUUCUUGAUGAUUUCGUUGAGUGUUUUUUUUUAUAGCUCAAGAUCUGAGAUUUAUGUUGAUAUCUAUUUUAUUUUUUUUGAUCUUUUAGGGAGGAAUGUGGAUGGGCGGAAUAUUAUGGUUCAAUUUGCAAAAUAUGGACCGAACGCUGAACGAAUUCAUAAAGGAAGAAUUGUUGAGGCAAUUCCAAAGACGAGGGGCAGGUCAAGAAGCCGUAGCCCUCGACCCAGGUACAGAGACAGUAACCGAGAGAGGGAUUAUAGGAGGCGAAGUCGUAGUAGAAGCAGAGGUAGGUACGAGAGUGACAGGUACAAUGAUCGAGAAAGGGAUUAUCGCCGCCGCAGCCGCAGUGCAAGCCCUGAUUACUCUAGAGGCCGUGGUAGAGAUGAUCGAAGGAGUCGAAGUGUCUCGUAUGACAGUGCCUCACCGGCUAGGCAUAGUCCUAGUCCUGAAAGGAGCCUGACGCCCCGCCGAACACCUCCUUCAAGUCCUGAGAAAGGUAGCCGUGGUGAACGUUCCCCACCUUCAAAAAGUGCAUCACCCCUGGCUCGCCGUACUGGUUCCCGGAGUCCAUCUUCUCGCAGCUUAAAUGAGGAUUAACAUGCUGCUUAUGCAUUGGAGGAUGUGUAUUACCGUUGCUAUCUAACUUUGGAUUCGGUGGACUCCUGUUAAGUUAUCUGUUCGUGAAAGUGCUGAUGUGGCAUUUGACGAGAUGAUAUCAGAAGGAUGUUUCCUUGCUGAUGAUGUUCUGGCCGAUGAUCUUAGUUCAUUAUUGAUGUUGAUGGUGAUGAUGAAUGUUGAUGGUGAUGUUGAUGGUGAUGAUGAAUGUUGAUGGUGCUGUUGAGCUGUUGGUGACUGAAUGCUGUUCGUUUGAUGCUCGUGAUGUCAUUCUGCAGUCACAACAUUGUAGAAACAAGAAGAGGGUUCCAGUAUGCAUCAUGAGGUGUUUAAUUACAUGCAUUGAUUUUGAGUUGCACUAAAGAGUAGUGCUAGCAGUGAUGAUCGUGCCAUUUCCUGUUUCAAUUAACACAUGAUGCCUUUUGAAGAGUUGGAUAUGCAAUUGCACAUGGAUGUGAUGCAGAAGCCGUGCUGGGGUGCACAAUUGAUUUCCAUCUGACACUAAUUUGAAGCAAUUUGUGCUUCCAACCUUGUCCACUGCAUGCUUAGAUGGUUUGGCUGCUGUCAGAAGACUUGUAGAUUGAUGGUCUGACACAAAGACAACGGGUACCAGCAAUUAUAGGCUUAUGUUAUGGAACAAUUGCAUGCUUAUGAGUAUGGAACAAUCAAAUGGUUGGAACAAUCUAUAGAGGUUGCUUUAUAUCAUUAUUCUCUUGUGGUCUUGCAAUUA